UUUAAGUUCAACCAUGAGUUUCCGUGCCCAACUGUGAUCGUCCGUCUUAUUUAAAAAAAUUUAUAAUUAAUAUUUUUAUUGUUAUGAGAUGAUAAAAUAUGAAUACUUUAUGCGUGACUUGUGUUUUAAAAUGUUUUCAAGAUUUUUUCAAAUAAAACGGAUGAUAAAGUUGAAUACGAAGAAGCAUGACUACACUUGAA
rfam:Oryza sativa (indica cultivar-group) chromosome 10, whole genome shotgun sequence.